rnacentral:lncRNA from 1 species
AGGCAAGUCCACGCUGGGAGUUAGAAGGCAUCGCCUCUAAUCCAGGUGUGCCUAGAUUGAUCGGUAUAAGGCUCACUCUCCCGCCCCCCAAAGUGGUUGAUCGUUGGAACGAGAAAAGGGCCAUGUUCGGAGUGUAUGACAACAUCGGGAUCCUGGGAAACUUUGAAAAGCACCCCAAAGAACUGAUCAGGGGGCCCAUAUGGCUUCGAGGUUGGAAAGGGAAUGAAUUGCAACGUUGUAUCCGAAAGAGGAAAAUGGUUGGAAGUAGAAUGUUCGCUGAUGACCUGCACAACCUUAAUAAACGCAUCCGCUAUCUCUACAAACACUUUAACCGACAUGGGAAGUUUCGAUAGAAGAGAAAGCUGAGAACUUCGGAAAAGGCUCAUCUGUCACCCUGGAGAAGGGAAACUGUACUUUUCCCUGUGAGGAAACGGCUUUGUAUUUUCUCUGUAAUAAAAUGGGGCUUCUUUGG